UACGUAGGAGGCAAGCGUUGUCCGGAAUCACUGGGCGUAAAGCGCGUGUAGGUGGAAGAUGAAGUCUGCUGUGAAAGCGCCUGGCUUAACCGGGCGAGGUCGGUGGAAACUCCUCAUCUCGAGGGCGGUAGAGGGGGGUGGAAUUCCGGGUGUAGUGGUGAAAUGCGUAGAGAUCCGGAGGAACACCUGUGGCGAAGGCGGCCCCCUGGGCCGCACCUGACGCUGAGACGCGAAAGCGCGGGGAGCGAACGGG
rnacentral:rRNA from 1 species